AACGGGGGGAGCAAGUGUUAUUCAUCAUUACUGGGCGUAAAGGGUGUGUAGGUGGUGUUGUAAGUCUUAAUUGAAAAAUCUAAGCGCAACUUAGAAGUCGAUUAUUAUACUGCAAGCACUUGAGGACAUAAGAAGUUUGUUGAAUUCUUAAUGUAAAAGUGAAAUUUUAAGAUAUUAAGAGGACGUUCGUUUGGCAAAAGCAACAAACUAUAAUGUUACUGACACUGAGGCACGAAAGCAUGGGUAUCAAACAGG
rnacentral:rRNA from 1 species